rnacentral:rRNA from 1 species
UAGGGAAUCUUCGGCAAUGGGGGCAACCCUGACCGAGCAACGCCGCGUGAGUGAAGAAGGUUUUCGGAUCGUAAAGCUCUGUUGUAAGAGAAGAACGUGUGUGAGAGUGGAAAGUUCACACAGUGACGGUAACUUACCAGAAAGGGACGGCUAACUACGUGCCAGCAGCCGCGGUAAUACGUAGGUCCCGAGCGUUGUCCGGCUUUAUUUGGCGUAAAGCGAGCGCAGGCGGUUUAAUAAGUCUGAAGUUAAAGGCAGUGGCUUAACCAUUGUUCGCUUUGGAAACUGUUAAACUUGAGUGCAGAAGGGGAGAGUGGAAUUCCAUGUGUAGCGGUGAAAUUCGUAGAUAUAUGGAGGAACACCGGUGGCGAAAGCGGCUCUCUGGUCUGUAACUGACGCUGAGGCUCGAAAGCGUGGGGAGCAAACAGG